GACGUAGGGCGCGAGCGUUGUCCGGAUUUAUUGGGCGUAAAGAGCUCGUAGGCGGCUUGUCGCGUCGUGUGUGAAAUCUCAGGGCUCAACUCUGACAUUGCAUACGAUACGGGCAGGCUUGAGUUCGGUAGGGGAGACUGGAAUUCCUGGUGUAGCGGUGAAAUGCGCAGAUAUCAGGAGGAACACCGGUGGCGAAGGCGGGUCUCUGGGACGGUACUGACGCUGAGACGCGAAAGCGUGGGGAGCGAACAGG
rnacentral:rRNA from 1 species